UUCCUCCUGCAUUGUUAAGCAAACAAAAUACACAAUUUGUUUUCAGCUAUCUUCUCAUUGAACUCAACAUCACCGCAGCCAACCAAAAGCACAAACAUUCGCAAGGUGAUUGCUAAUCUCAUUUUACUCUAGUUCAUGUUACAUGUUUCACACCAACAAGUAUGCUUAUGUUUUAGAAAGUCAGAAUAAAGAAUUGAGAUAUAUAUGCAUAAUGGAUUAGCAAAGUCACGUUUCAGUAAUACAGAUUUACCCAUCUUAUGUAGAAUGUCCUAUGCGUUUAUGAUUCCCACUAGACUCUAGAAAUUAGAUGCUAACACAGUAGCAACCCCACAACGCCAUUAAUCCCUUGCACAUAUAGUAUAUAGAACCAAGACUUCACGCAGAUUUAAGAAGUUAACUUAGAACAGAAGAAAAAUGGAAGGGGACUAGAUUGAUGUACCUGUUCAGUCGAACCGAGGGAACGACGACGAGCCCUUGCUGCCUCGCCGAAAUAUGAGUAAAGCAGCAACGGCGAGGUGAAGAGUCAGGCCCGUCGACUCCGAGAACGACAGCAGCGACGGCCUACCCUUCUCUGCCGGAACCCAGAGGACGGCGAAAGAAGACCCAUCCCUUGAGUUCGAAAGCGGAAAGAACUGAGGAGGGGAUGACGUCUAUAGCCUCAUCAGAAGCUCAGGGGCGGUGGCGUCCGCCAGAGGCGGCGAUAAAUUCCGAGAGAUGAGAAAAGGCUACGGCUUGAGCGUGAAUCUAUUUUCAUGUUGGGCCGAGAUUCUCUACUAAAUUCAGAUUGGGCUGCAUUUAAGUAGAAGUGAUUGGGCUGUUUGUAUUUCCUUUAUGAAAGUCCGAUUAAAGACUAGUUCAAGUUUUAUUAAGUGAUUAAUUGGAUUUAGCUAUUUCCUCGUAAUAGAUUACAGAAAGCAGAUCUAUUUAAUUAGUAAGCGGGUUAGUAUACCUAAGAUGAGUGGAUUAAUUAAGAUUAUUAAUCUGAUCUCAUAAGCCGAGUUUAUGUUAUUAAUUGAUCCUAUAGUGCGGGUUAUUAAUAGAAAUUCUUGGAUUAUUAUUUUAGAAUAAUAAUUCUUGAAUAAGAGAGUCAUGCAUAGUUAAAUAACGCAUUCUCAUUAAAUUGAGAAUUUUUCUCGAGCAAUGUCUUAUUUUAUUUUCUCAUUACUAAGGUCAAGCGCGAGAGUAAGGGCUACUCAAGGAGUCACAGUACCUUAGAAAAGCUUUGCCAUCAGGUACCGCAUGUUUUUAGGCCACAAACAAUACUUUGUUUCUUCUGAUGCGGGUCAAGGAAAAAUGCAGUGGUACACGUUUCACGAGUUAGACGUGGAUAUUCCACCAAGUCUCAGCCGCUGCACUUGAGAAUACGACCAUUGGCGAGGCCAAUCUACAGCCCAAAGACGCUCGAAUCAAAGACCAAGCUCUCGGGCCCGACUGACUCCACCGAGGCGGGGAUCCAAUCAACGGCAAAGAGGACAUGGUGCUAGUACUAGCGGCAGAGUGAAGACAGCGGCAGCGGCGAUGAAGACCACCACCGCAAUCAGUGAAGUGGUCGGCAAAGAGAGAGAGAGAGGAGAUUGAGAGAAGAGAAAAAUUAAUGGUAGGAUAUAUUUGUAUUUUUGCACACAAAAUAACUAAUUUUUAAAAAAUUUAUGUGAGUGAACAAUUUUUAUUUUUA